rnacentral:snoRNA from 10 species
GGUGUGCUGGAGGAUGAAAAUACGGAGUGAUCCAUCGGCUAAGUGAUUUAUCACAAUGCUGAAACUCAUAUUGCUGACAGCACACA